AAAAUUAUAUAUGGGUUCUAUUCUUAUGAGUCUAAGUCAAGAGCAUAUUUUGGCUAAGCACAAGUUAACAUAUUACAUUUCAUCUUCCUACAUCGAUAUACAUAUAACAUAUAUGUACACACGGAACCGAGCUAAUAAAAAUAACGAGGUGGUGGUUUAGCCGGUGCUGGCACUGCUAGUGUUGAUUUGCUGGUAUGAUAUUCCGCAAUUAUGAAACCGCCAUACGUGAAAGCUGCCUCGCAGUCAAUAGUUCCCUUGCCACGAUAAUGAGUUUGCGAAUUAGCAAGCUGAUUAAUAUGAUGGUUAUGAGGCCUCGGCUUUCUGCUUUUACUGCAGUCAUCAAGUAAUGUGAAUGCUUCUAUUCCAAUUUUUUUUAUAUUGCUUCAAAAAGCCAUGUUCACCAAAUUUCUACAGCUCUCCCUGCUUACAUAAGGCCAUACAGGCAUAACCCAUUUUAUAGAAUUAGAGCUUGUGAUUCCUUUUCUUUUUUGUCUGAUGCCCUUCCGGUGUCCACUUCCAGGAAGCUGCAAGUUUAAAUUCGUAUCUAUCUUGAAAGGAUGAGCAUCUCGUUGUGUGUGGUUAAGUUAGAACUGCUCAAACUUAAUUGCUCCUAGCCAUAAUGGAUUUAACCAUAUCCAUGAGAGUGCGAUUACGUCUCUCUGCCACACUAUUUUGUUUAGGGGUUCCAAGCAUUGUAUAUUGGGCAACAAUCCCACAUUAUUGUAUAUUGGGCAACAAUCCCACACUAUUUCGUGUUUCCCCAUAUUUCCCAUAAUACUCACCACCACGGUUAGAUCUCAUAAUCUUAAUUCUUUUAUCUAGUUGAUUCUCAAAUUCAAUUUUAAAAAUUUUAAACAUAUGAAGUGCCUUAGAUUUUCCUUUAAUAAGGUAGACAUAUCCAAAAUGAGAAAAAUUAUCAAUAAAGGUUAUAAAAUAUGAAAGACUAGACAAGGUGGAAGACAAAGGACCACUAAUGUCAAUGUGAAUAAUUUCUAAAAGAUUUUUACUACGAGUGGAUCCCUUUCUUUUGUUCUUAGUAAGUUUACCUCUAAAACAAUCAAUGCAAUCUUCAAAAUUUGUUUUGUUAAGUGGAGGUAAAAUAUUAUCUUUUACAAGUCUUUCAACUUUUUCUUUAGAAAUAUGACCCAUAUGUUUAUGCCACAACAUGGAAGACUUUUCGUUGGUCAAAGGGCACUUACAAAUCGCUUUAUCAACAUGCAUAGAAAAAUUUUCAAUUUUGGAUAAAGACAAUUUAUAAAGAUCAUCACAAAGAUAUACAUUUUUCACAAUAGAAGAAUUAAAAGACACAUCAAUUUUUCUAGAACCAAUAUUUAGAAAAAAAACCUUUCAAAUCAAGUUUCUUAAUUGAAAUCCAAUUUUGUCACAUAAACGGUACAUGAAAUAUAUUUUUCAAACAAGACUGCAACCUGAAUCUAAAACUAAGGCAACUUCUCCUACGAAUUCGACUUUGACUUUAUGCCCAUUGCCUACGACCAAAAAUCUUUCAAGUUCACUUGGCUUCCGUUUGUUUUUGAACCCCUGCAAGCUAUUACAAAUAUGAACAAAUACUCCAGUAUCAAUCCGCCAAGAAUUAAGAGGAACAUUGAUUAAAUGGGAUUCAAAACAAACAUAAGCAAAAGUGUUACUUUCCAUAUUUUUUAAGUGGAUCUUAUAUUUUGUGCAUUCAUGUCUCCUAUGACCCUUCUUCUUGCAAAACUAGCACUUUUCUUCUUUCUUUACAUUAGCUUAAAGACCAAGAUUGUGAGACUGACCAUAUUUUUCUUUGGGAACUUAUUAUAGUUACUAAACCCCCUUUUUCUCCUACGGAUAUUUUGGGUAGAAGGUUUAGGUUUGGAAAUAACUAAAGCAAUUGCUUCUUUCACCAAGUUUUCAACACCUUUUUCCUUAAGUUGUUUUUCCUCUUCUUGAAAACAUUUAGCUAUAAGCUCACUAAUGGAUGUUUUUCUUUCAUAGCAUUAUAAGCAGUUUUUAGCAGACUAAAUUGAGAGGCAGAGUAUUAAAAACUUUGUAAACGAUGAACUCAUUAGGGAGGACAAUUUUCAUGCCACUAAGUCGUUUUUGGUAAGUAACCAUUUUACAGAUGUACUCUCUUACCCCACCUACCCAUUCAUAUUUCAUACCCAUAAGUUUCCCCCAAAAGCUCUCUAGAUUUAGCCUUAUCAGUUCCUAGGUGUAAAUUGCCUAUCGCAUCAAAAAGAGUUUUAGCAUUAUCGCUAUCAGGAAUAGAACCCAAGAUAUGUUCAACUACAAACUUCUUAAUAGCCAUCACAGUAAGGCGAUUAGCUCUUUUCCAAAUGAUACGUGCAUCCUUUUGCUUGGUAGUACUAGUUUCUAAGGGUACGUAAGGCUCAGGCUCAUAUAAGGCAAUGUCUAGACCACUCAUUCCUAAAGCAAGUUCAAUAUCCAAUUUCCAUUAUUUAUAGUUGGCUCCAAUUAAAACCUCAAUACUAGCAGAUUGGUUGUUGGCAGCAAAAGUAAUUGUUUAAGAGAUUAUCCCAACAAAUAUAAGAGAAAAUACAAUAAUGGACAGUUUGAAUGCAAGAAUAAGCUUUAUUCUAACGAGAGUCCAGGUGUAUGAUUAUAAAAUCUCUUUUGGGUAGAUAAUACAAUAUACAAAUAGGUCUCUCAAAUAUUAGAGUAACAUAUAUAGAAAACAUAGACUCCCAAGAAAUAAAAUAUAUCCCUUUGGGUAGAUAUAUUUUUAAUCUAUGAAUUCUCCCUCAUAUUAAAUUUCAUUAAACCUUAAUUUAUUAUAUAUAUCAAUUCCUUUAGAAUAGAUUAAUAUAUAUAAAAAUCAGAAAAUUCCAUCUUAAGUACAUCAUGUAAUGAAAAUUUAUAAAUCUCUAUGAAUAAUUCACUUUGGUGUAGAUAUUCAUAUCAAUAUACAGAUUUUCUAGCAAGACAAUAUUUAUGCCCAAAAAAUUCUUUUAAUUAAAAAACCAUAUCUCCAAGAUAUAUACAUGAAUUGAAAAUUGAAAAGGAAAAAAUACAAAAUUUAUGCUUUGGUGAUAAAAUCAAAACAAAUUGAACAACCAAUAAUUCAAGAAUUCCAUAAUCAAUUCAAAACACCCAAGCGUUUAGAUUAUUGAUUCAAUCACAUAUGCAAUCCACACAUCAAAAUCGAAUUUCAAUUUUUAUAAGUAGGCUCUAAUACCACAUGUAAGAAUUUGAAUGUGCAAGAUACUCAUAUAUAAAUUGAAAUUACAUAAAAUAGAAUAACUUAUAGGUUCUCUUGUCUGCUUCCAUUGACACCAUCUUAAUCCCAAAAGCUAGGUUGAACUUGCUAGUCAUAUGCCCUAUAGCCAAUUUGAUUGGUUAUAUUUUGGAUAUAAUAUUUCAUGUAAUAAAUAUUUUAUUAUCAAUAAAAGACAUUUAUUUAUCUUUUAUAUUCUAUUGAUUGAAUCUUGGUAAAAAAUAAAGUCCAUGGCACAACACUGCUUUUCGAAAUAAAUUAUAAUGCGAUUAUAAUUAUGAGUUUCAUAUUUACAUUAAAGCAAUGUCUUUAAACAUUCCUGGUCAAUGUUCUUCUCAUUAUUGGAUGAUAAUUAGACCUAUUGAGACUAGUUCAUAUUAUGUUCUUUUCUUAGGGAAGCAGCUAUUCUCAUAAGCUGAGAUAUAUGUGAUAUCUAGAACUAUAUGUAGGUGCUUAUUAUUUAAACAAGUCCACUGAAUUUAUCUGCAUGAGAAUUUCAUAUGGAGAGUUACAUGUGUCUAUGAAAUACUCAAGUGAUGGUUGUGUAAGUGAUCCUUUGACUUGAAAUUACUUAGAUAUCUUGUGCGGGGAUGACUAUGUUUUGAUUCUUCAUUCACAAUAUCCAUUCAUGAAUAAUAAACAGUGAUUUUUUGGACAUAGUAGGAACUGAAUCGAGAUAUUUGUGUAAUUAAGAGAAGAUUCAUUACCCUAGGUAAAUCAGAAAAAAUGUUAUCAUUGUUCUCUGUUAGUAUUGAUUAAAAAAUCGUUGCGCAAGGUAUAAUGAAAUUCGCAAAUUAGAUUUGAAAUUUAAUUCAAAUGAUCAAUGGCUAAGAUUAAAAGAACCAACAUGAUUUAGUAAAGCAGACACUCUUCAUGCCUAAUUAUUAAAUCAGAAUAUUAAUGAUGAAGGAAUACUAAUUACACUGAUAAAUCACGUACUGAAAAGUUAAGUCAAACCACAUUGACUUUCAAAAUAUUUGGAUAGUAUUGACAUAUUGGUAGACAAUGUACUUGACCUUUAAAUAUUAAUUAAUUUAAUUUAUAUUUGUUGCCAACAUAUUUAGAACCUAGAAUGUCACAUGCAUUCUUGGAUAUGAAAAAGUGAAAAUAAGAAAUCAAAUCAAAUAUGACUUGAUUACAAAUUAGUUUUGGGACAUUAAGGAUAAAAUUGUUUUUUUAUAUUUAAUUACAAUUUUACCUAAUUUAUUGAAACAUCCCAAAUUUUUAUUUUCGAAACUUUUAAAUUUUUAUUAAAUCAAAAAUCAGAAAUUUUAACUGUGUGGGCUGCAAAUAUGAUACAGUCUCAAUUCGAGCCCAAAUUGCAAGUUGGGCUCAAGCCCAAAUAUAUUAUCGGAAUUUUCGAUUUAAGAACACUUAAAAUUUUUUUUUAGGAAUAAUAUAGAACUCCAACUACUAAUCUAUUAUAAAUAUAUGUAUAUGUGUGUGACUACUAUAUAAAUAAAAUAUCCUAAAAUCAAAUAUCAUGAUUAUUAUGGUUAUUAUUGAACAAAUCAAGGACAUGUUCUAGAAUCUAACAAAAUAAUUAUAUAUAUAUAUAUAUAUAUAUAUAUAUAUAUAUAAAUCAAACCGAACCGGGAAACCAACUUGAUUCGUCGAAAAACAGUAAAGAAUCCAUAAACCAAGCGAAAAUCGAGUCAAAUCAUUGAAUCAGACCAAACCAUUUCAAAUUGAACCGGAAUGAUCUAGAAACCGACCUACCUCUUUCUUCUCUUUUUCUUCCCCUUCCUUACGCCAGCGCCAUUUGCCUCCUCUCAUCCCACUUUCUGGCCAUCGCUUGACGGAAAUGAGAUGGCGACAGGCCCCCUUUGCGAUGGUUACUCUAGUUUCCGCCUCCCCUUUUGAUGAUCGAAUCUCCAGAAGCACGAACAGGAGAUUUUCUUUCCUUUCUUCUUCGACAGUUUCAAUCGCCAGCGAUAUCAGGCGACUCCGACGACGUGGAGCUGCAAGGUGAGUCUCGAUCAACUCAGCUUCUCCACGCGAACGUUUUCCAUCAAAGAAUCAAUAGAAAUGGUGGAGAGAACGGAAGCCACCAUGAGCGGAGGUGUGGAGAGGGCUGUGGCGGUCGAUUCGGCCAAACAAGCCACUCCUCCUUAAAACGACACUGUAUUCGGCUUCCACAAAUGAUUUCGAGCAUUUUGGUGUGCGAAUUGCAAAAUUCUGGGUUGCUUGGGAUUUUUCGGCCACUGUGCACGGAGGCGGCAGCGAUACUCCGGCGAGGCACCAAGAGACAGAAUCUUUCUCUCCUCGCGUGGAUCCUGGAAUCAUCACCCGAAUUUCGAUCGGUACGCCCUAAGACCUAUCUCCCGAUUUGUGUUAUAAACUUCGAAUUUAAAACUAUCAAUUGAUUAAAUGAAUUCGAAUAAAUAAUGAAUCAAAUAUAAUAUUUGCUAGGAAUUAGUUAACUGGUAUAAUGUAGUUACAAAUUAAUUUUGAACAUUGUCAAAUAAACUACAUGAAUUAUUAUUAUAAUUAGGUGAUUUGAGGAGGAAGAUAAAUUAGAAUUAGUUAAUUGGUUAAUUAGAUGAUCAUUAGUCUAAAACUAGUUGGUUGUGCAUAAGAAAAGUAAGAUGAGCUUUAGUCGGUUAACGAUUAGACACAAAAUUUUGAUAAAUUAAGGUUUGGGAGGCCUAACCACUUUCGAUAUUGACUUAAAAAUCGAAUUUAAAUAGGCAGUAGUUAUAAUUAGUUAUCGUUAAAGUAAGUUUUAACAGCUUAACAAAUUAGUUACCUAAAGCUAUUAAUUUAAUUAACUUAUGAUUUAUUAAAUAAUUUUAUAUUGGAACUGGUGAAGAUUAAGGAAUAUGGGUACUUAAAUUUGAUUGAUUACCCGACGAAUGGAUUGUGUGAGUUGAUUAUAUAAGUAGAUGAAUGAAUAAUGGUUAUGGCAAACGGGGUUAGUUGUUUUGAAUUUGCCCAAAGGAUGGGCUUUGAAAACGUACUAUUGAAUUGUGGUUUAGUCAAAUUUUAGGGAAGGUGCUGCUGAAAUUUUGAUAGAAUCUAGGCUAGUCUUAAUUAAUAAUAUAAUUGAUAGGUUUAAUUAGAUUAAUUCUUUAUCUCUACUUAUAUUAUUAUUAUCAUCAUUAUUCAUUCAUUUAUUUAAUUAUUUAUCUAUUUUCAUCAUUAUUGUCUAUUAUUGUUAUUAUUUAUUUUAUUAUUGUUGUUUAUUGUUAAUACUAUUUAUUUAUUUAUUUGCAUUUGAAUAUGGAUGUCUAAUUGUGUAUUGCAUUAUGAUGUUUAAUUGAUUAAUAUGUCUGCAUUUAAUUGCAAUGCUUGAUUAGUUGUGAUGUGACAAUGUUUUGCCAUGUUUAUGUGGAGUUGGAAUGAAGUGGGUCACCAUGGGUUUGUGAGGGCGGUCUACGAGACCGUUGGCCGUAUGGAAGAUCGGCGCCCCCAUGUGCACCUAACAUGAUAUGGAUAAUAUGGAUAAACCAUAGGGUGACCUCCUGUUGAUAUGAGAAAAAAAAAAGAGAAUGGAAAAACAAUGAGAGGGCUGGUCAAAUGAGAAUUAGACCGGUUGGCCGGAUAUGGAGAUCGGCUCCCUAGUGAACACGUUAUGAGAGGGUGGGCUGUGUGUGAGGACGGCUCAUUGGGGGUUUAGGUGACGCCACAGACUAAUUUUCACGUGAUGUGAUUAUGUGAAGAUGUUAAUAAUUGUGAGUGUUGUUGUGAUGCCAUUUGUAUGGCUAUCUGCGUGAGCAUAUAACUAGUCGGAUGACUAGAUUAAAAAAUUUGCACGUUUAUGUGAAUGCAUGUGUUGUGCAAUAACUAUUAUUCAUUAAUAACCUCACAUGACUUCUGUUUAACCUUUCAGGAAGUAGAUUCUUCUAAGCCUAGUUAAAG
rnacentral:lncRNA from 1 species